GUUCUUGGAGCAUGGUAAAUGUGGUUGGUUUCGGCCCGAAGGAAUAUCAAGAAUG
rnacentral:tRNA from 1 species